UACAGAGGUCCCAAGCGUUGUUCGGAUUCAUUGGGCGUAAAGGGUGCGUAGGUGGCAUGGUAAGUCGGGUGUGAAAUCCCGGGGCUCAACCCCGGAACUGCACUCGAUACUGCCGUGCUCGAGUACUGGAGAGGAGACUGGAAUUUACGGUGUAGCAGUGAAAUGCGUAGAUAUCGUAAGGAAGACCGGUGGCGAAGGCUAGUCUCUGGACAGUUACUGACACUGAGGCACGAAAGCCAGGGGAGCAAACAGG
rnacentral:rRNA from 1 species